AAACCAGACUCCUACGGGAGGCAGCAGUGGGGAAUAUUGCACAAUGGGGGGAACCCUGAUGCAGCGACGCCGCGUGGGUGAAGGAGUCUUUCGGUAUGUAAAGCCCUAUCGGCAGGGAAGAAGCAAGACGGUACCUGACUAAGAAGCCCCGGCUAACUACGUGCCAGCAGCCGCGGUAAUACGGAGGGGGCAAGCGUUAUCCGGAUUUACUGGGUGUAAAGGGAGCGUAGACGGAAAGGCAAGUCAGAAGUGAAAGCCCAAGGCGCAACCAUGGGACUGCUUUUGAAACUGUCAAACUAGAGUACGGGAGAGGUAAGAGGAAUUCCUAGUGUAGCGGUGAAAUGCGUAGAUAUUAGGAGGAACACCAGUGGCGAAGGCGGCUUACUGGACUGUAACUGACGUUGAGGCUCGAAAGCGUGGGGAGCAAACAGGAUUAGAUACCCUCGUAAU
rnacentral:rRNA from 1 species